rnacentral:rRNA from 1 species
AUAAUCUCGGGAAACUGAGAAUAAGCCAGGAUAUACAAUGAACACUGGAAAGUAUUAUUGUUGAAACUUACGGCCUUAAGAUAGGGCUGCGGCUGAUUAGGUAGUUGGCGGGGUAAAUGCCCACCAAGCCAGUGAUCAGUAAGGGCUCUUAACGGAGAAGCCCUGAGAGGGACUCUGAGACACUAGUCCCAGCUCUACGGAGUGCAGCAGGUGCGAAAAUUUUCCAAUGUCCGAAAGGAUGAGAAAGGAAUCCAAAGUGCUCUCACAAAUGUGUGAGCUUUUCUUUGCUGCAAAAAAGCAGAGGAAUAAGGACUGGGCAAGACUGGUGCCAGCCGCCGCGGUAAUCCCAGCGGUCCAAGUGGCAGCCACAUUUAUUAGGUCUAAAACAUUCGUAGCCCGUCGCGCAAGUUCUUUGUGAAAUCUUCUGGCUUAACCAGGAGGCGCGCAUUGAAGACUGCCCGACUAGGGACUGGGAGACGCAAGAAGUACAGACGGGGUAGCGGUAAAAUGUUUUAAUCCCGCCUGGACUAACAACAGCGAAGGCAUCUUGCGAUAACAGCUCUGACGGUGAGGAAUGAAGGUAGGGGCGCAAAAUGGUUGAUACCCAUGUAGUCCUAGCUGUAAACACUGCACACUAAACAUUGUCCUCUCCCCGAGAGGGGGCAGUGCUGUAGCGAAGGCGAAGAGUGUGCUACCUGGGAAGU